GUGUGUUCCAGGUAAAUCCGGUUCACUUUAACACUGAGGCGUGACGACGAGGCACUACGGUGCUGAAGCAACAAAUGCCCUGCUUCCAGGAAAAGCCUCUAAGCAUCAGGUAACAUCAAAUCGUACCCCAAACCGACACAGGUGGUCAGGUAGAGAAUACCAAGGCGCUUGAGAGAACUCGGGUGAAGGAACUAGGCAAAAUGGUGCCGUAACUUCGGGAGAAGGCACGCUGACACGUAGGUGAAGUGAUUUACUCAUGGAGCUGAAGUCAGUCGAAGAUACCAGCUGGCUGCAACUGUUUAUUAAAAACACAGCACUGUGCAAACACGAAAGUGGACGUAUACGGUGUGACGCCUGCCCGGUGCCGGAAGGUUAAUUGAUGGGGUCAGCGCAAGCGAAGCUCCUGAUCGAAGCCCCGGUAAACGGCGGCCGUAACUAUAACGGUCCUAAGGUAGCGAAAUUCCUUGUCGGGUAAGUUCCGACCUGCACGAAUGGCGUAAUGAUGGCCAGGCUGUCUCCACCCGAGACUCAGUGAAAUUGAACUCGCUGUGAAGAUGCAGUGUACCCGCGGCAAGACGGAAAGACCCCGUGAACCUUUACUAUAGCUUGACACUGAACAUUGAGCCUUGAUGUGUAGGAUAGGUGGGAGGCUUUGAAGUGUGGACGCCAGUCUGCAUGGAGCCGACCUUGAAAUACCACCCUUUAAUGUUUGAUGUUCUAACGUGGACCCGUUACCCGGGUUGCGGACAGUGUCUGGUGGGUAGUUUGACUGGGGCGGUCUCCUCCUAAAGAGUAACGGAGGAGCACGAAGGUUGGCUAAUCCUGGUCGGACAUCAGGAGGUUAGUGCAAUGGCAUAAGCCAGCUUGACUGCGAGCGUGACGGCGCGAGCAGGUGCGAAAGCAGGUCAUAGUGAUCCGGUGGUUCUGAAUGGAAGGGCCAUCGCUCAACGGAUAAAAGGUACUCCGGGGAUAACAGGCUGAUACCGCCCAAGAGUUCAUAUCGACGGCGGUGUUUGGCACCUCGAUGUCGGCUCAUCACAUCCUGGGGCUGAAGUAGGUCCCAAGGGUAUGGCUGUUCGCCAUUUAAAGUGGUACGCGAGCUGGGUUUAGAACGUCGUGAGACAGUUCGGUCCCUAUCUGCCGUGGGCGCUGGAGAACUGAGGGGGGCUGCUCCUAGUACGAGAGGACCGGAGUGGACGCAUCACUGGUGUUCGGGUUGUCAUGCCAAUGGCACUGCCCGGUAGCUAAAUGCGGAAGAGAUAAGUGCUGAAAGCAUCUAAGCACGAAACUUGCCCCGAG
rnacentral:rRNA from 4 species